rnacentral:rRNA from 1 species
AUUGAACGCUGGCGGCAGGCCUAACACAUGCAAGUCGAGCGGAUGAGGGGAGCUUGCUCCCUGAUUUAGCGGCGGACGGGUGAGUAAUGCCUAGGAAUCUGCCUGGUAGUGGGGGAUAACGUUCGGAAGGGAAGGUAAAUACCGCUACCGUCCUCGGGGGGAAAGCAGGGGACUUUCGGCCCUUCCGUUACCGGUUGAGCCUAGGUCGGAUUAGCUAGUUGGUGAGGUAAUGGCUCACCAAGGCGCCGAUCCGUAACUGGUCUGAGAGGAUGAUCAGUCACACUGGAACUGAGACACGGUCCAGACUCCUACGGGAGGCAGCAGUGGGGAAUAUUGGACAAUGGGCGAAAGCCUGAUCCAGCCAUGCCGCGUGUGUGAAGAAGGUCUUCGGAUUGUAAAGCACUUUAAGUUGGGAGGAAGGGCUGCUGGUUAAUACCCUGCAGUUUUGACGUUACCAACAGAAUAAGCACCGGCUAACUUCGUG